rnacentral:tRNA from 1 species
GCGGCAGUGGCGGAACUGGCAGACGCGCUAGAUUCAGGAUCUAGUGGGUCUACGCCCGUGGGGGUUCAAAUCCCCCCUGCCGCACCA